ACAUGCAUUUCUGAGCACAUGAGAGCUCAAGGGAGGAAUUGAUCCACAAUACCAAAAAGGCAUUUUGGGCAUUUUUCUGCUCCCAACUUUGUGGGAACAGUUUAGGAAUGGCUCCUUCCUGUCACAAUGUGAGUGUGCAGCAGUGUACAAAGCAACCAACAGUUAUUUUAGUAAUUGAUUAUUUUAUCUGAUAAUCUGAAAGAAUAUUGGCACAUCCUACGAAUUCGUCAUUUAGCCACUCGUUUUUAUAUCACAUUAGACAUACAUUAAAAGAUGAAUAUUGGCAAGCUAUUCCUUUUUAAAAUAAUAAAAUAAAAAUGUUAUUGCGUAAAAUGCGAUAACACAGCAAUUCUUUAGUAAAUUUGAGCCUGGUGAUGCUGAAACUGUCACUUGAGUUUUGGAUAGUACAUAUUUAUAACAAAGGUCUUCUUAUUUUAAGUGCAAAAUUUUUGUUUGGUUGUGGCUUAAUUAUUGCUCUAAAUAUGUUGUUUUUUCAGCAAAUGGCCUUUUUUUGAGUCUUUAUGCUCCAGUUAACGAUUAAUCGAUUACUAAAUUAGUUGACAAUUAUUUCAAUAAUCAAUUUGUCACUAUUAAUCAUGUGAGCCCUACAAGCUUGGUGUAGAAGAUCUUCAGUGGUCUAGGCUUCUCUCAACCUGUGAGCCACGCUCUACACACAGAAGGACACAGUCACAGCCAGUUUUGGACAGUUCAUCAGUGAAAUCAAGCCCCAGCAUUUGCCCCCUGUUGUCCUCCAGCGCAGUAAAAGGAUGGUGCUGGACAGCACUGGGGUCGGCCUCAUUGGAAGCACAACAGGUGUCUUUAAUCUGGCCCUGCAGCACUGCCAGGUAAAUCAAAGUCUCUACUAACAAUGUGCAAAUCAGUGACCCUGUAGAAAUGCUGAGUCAGGGGAGAUUCAGUGUGGGGACAAAUGACCAAAGGAGUCAAAGAUAUCUGGUUAUUAAAAGUGUUUUGGUCAAGAAUAGAUCAUUUACUAAAGUCUUUUCAUUUCAACACAUGUAUGUACCUGAUUUCAUCAGCACUGUGUACGGCCGCAGCAACGUCCGGCUUUCCCCAACCCUGGCUGCUUUCGUCAACGGAGUGGCAUCUCAGUCCUUGGACUUUGAUGAACCCUGGCAUCCAGCAACUCAUCCAUCAGGACCCGUUCCUCCUCUAUUAGCGCUCAGUGACAUGAUGCCAUAUUCCUGAACUGCCAGUUCCUCAGAGUUGGAGUCAAGUCACAUCAAGAUUAAACAUUUUUAACAGAACUCUUCUUGUAUGCAGCUUAUUUUGGUUGUAACCUCAUGAGUUUAUAGACUUCCUGUCCUGAUGUCAGUACUUUUUAAAGUUUUAUCAUUAUGCUUUCAUGCUCAGAACGGAACAUAAUGAUGUUAGUGUGAGGGACAACAUUAGCACAAUAAGCCAUGUGUAGCUGAACGUCUCAGAGACCUCCAGAAGGGUGUGUGUUUUGUGAACAAACUGUGCUUGUUUUAUAUAAAAUCAGCUGUACAUUUUGUUCUGUUGGUUGUUCUGUUAUAACCAUGAGCAUAACACACCAGAUAUAAAAAUAUCAAUUUCAUCACCAGGACGAACAGA